CAGCCGCCGCGGGAAUACGUAGGUGGCAAGCGUUGUCCGGAAUUAUUGGGCGUAAAGGGCUCGCAGGCGGUUUCUUAAGUCUGAUGUGAAAGCCCCCGGCUCAACCGGGGAGGGUCAUUGGAAACUGGGAAACUUGAGUGCAGAAGAGGAGAGUGGAAUUCCACGUGUAGCGGUGAAAUGCGUGGAGAUGUGGAGGAACACCAGUGGCGAAGGCGACUCUCUGGUCUGUAACUGACGCUGAGGAGCGAAAGCGUGGGGAGCGAACAGGAUUAGAUACCCGAGUAGUCCCUGUAUCUUAUAA
rnacentral:rRNA from 1 species